UCCUGACAGCGGCAUGACGCGGCUGACUUAACCCAAGACAGGAGAAACUCAUG
rnacentral:ncRNA from 1 species